GACGAACGCUGGCGGCGUGCUUAACCCAUGCAAGUCGAACGACGUGGCGAACGGGUGAGUACUACGUGAUUAACCUGCCCUCCUUUUUGGGAUACGCCUUGGAACCGGGGUCUAAUACCCAAUCACGGGGGAUGGGCUGGCGGCCUAGCAGCUUGUUGGUGGGGUGGUGGCCUACCAAGGCGGUGACGGGUAGCCGGCCUGUGAGGGUGACAGGACACAUUGGGACUGAGAUACGGCCCAGACUCCGACGGGAGGAAGCAGUGGGGGAUAUUGGACAAGGGGCGAAAGCAUGAUGCAGAGACGCGGCGUGGGGGAUGAAGGCUUUCGGGUUGUAAACCUCUUUCGCUAUCGAAAGGGUAGGUGGAGAAGAAGCGCCGGCUAACUACGUGCCAGCAGCCGCGGUAAUAC
rnacentral:rRNA from 1 species